GACGUAGGGCGCGAGCGUUGUCCGGAUUUAUUGGGCGUCAAGAGCUCGUAGGCGGCUUGUCGCGUCGACCGUGAAAACUUGGGGCUCAACCCCAAGCCUGCGGUCGAUACGGGCAGGCUAGAGUUCGGUAGGGGAGACUGGAAUUCCUGGUGUAGCGGUGAAAUGCGUAGAUAUCAGGAGGAACACCGGUGGCGAAGGCGGCUAUCUGGACAGAAACUGACGCUGAGGCGCGAAAGCUAGGGGAGCAAACAGG
rnacentral:rRNA from 1 species